AACGAACGCUGGCGGCAUGCCUAACACAUGCCAGUCGAACGAAGGCUUCGGCCUUAUUGGCGCACGGGUUCGUAACGCGUGGGAAUCUGCCCUUGUGGUCGGAAUAACAGCGGGAAACUGCUGCUAAUACCGGAUGAUGACUUAAGUCCAAAGAUUUAUCGCCCAAGGAUGAGCCCGCGUAGGAUUCGCUAGUUGGUUGGGUAAAGGCCCACCAAGGCGACGAUCCUUAGCUGGUAUGAGAGGAUGAUCAGCAACACUGGGACUGAGACCCGGCCCAGAUUCCUACGGGAGGCAGCAGUGGGGAAGAUUGGACAACGGGCGAAAGCCUGAUCCAGCAAUGCCGCGUAAGUGAUGAAGGCGUUAGGGUUGUAAAGCUCUUUUACCCGGGAUGAUAAUGACAGUACCGGGAGAAUAAGCACCGGCUAACUCCGU
rnacentral:rRNA from 1 species